rnacentral:rRNA from 1 species
AGAGUUUGAUCCUGGCUCAGGAUGAACGCUAGCUACAGGCUUAACACAUGCAAGUCGAGGGGCAGCAUGGGAUUAGCUUGCUAAUCCUGAUGGCGACCGGCGCACGGGUGAGUAACGCGUAUCCAACCUUCCCCCUGCUCAGGGAUAGCCCGGUGAAAACCGGAUUAAGACCUGAUAGUUUCACUAGAUGGCAUCUGACGGUGAAUAAAGGUUUCGGCAAGGGAUGGGGAUGCGUCUGAUUAGCUUGUUGGCGGGGUAACGGCCCACCAAGGCGACGAUCAGUAGGGGUUCUGAGAGGAAGGUCCCCCACAUUGGAACUGAGACACGGUCCAAACUCCUACGGGAGGCAGCAGUGAGGAAUAUUGGUCAAUGGGCGGAAGCCUGAACCAGCCAAGUAGCGUGCAGGAUGACGGCCCUAUGGGUUGUAAACUGCUUUUGUGCGGGAAUAAAGUCAGGGACGCGUCCCUGUUUGCAUGUACCGCAAGAAUAAGGACCGGCUAAUUCCGUGCCAGCCGCCGC